GCGGUCUUGGGUCCGCCCGGCCGUCAGAACAGGCCUCAGCGGCCGGUUGUGGAAAUAAACCCAGGGAGCGGAAGGAGUAAUAACGAAAAAGCUUUACUAGUGUUUUAACCGUGUACAAAACACUGUAGCAAUAAGAGAAAGGCCCGUGCUAUCUGUGUUUAAACAAAAUGCAGUGGCUGCGGGGCUUCCAGGCAGGGCUGGGGAACAGGCCGGGCGCCCGCCUUGGGCGCAUCUCCGCCUCUUAGGGGUAAGAGGCUCAGAGCCUACCCCUUAGGCCUAGUUGGAUGCGGGUCGGUCCUGCCCAAGGCCCCAGUGAGGGGAGCCGAGGCUAGGAAGGGGCAAGUUUUAUGUGUUUGGGAGGGGGUGUCUCUUCCCGGCCUCUGCGUCUUCCCCCUGGAGCGUCAGUAUGGUCAGGCUCUGGUGACCCAGCCGCUUUGCCUCCCGACUUUGGGAAGAGUAGCAAGGAGAGGUCCUGGCAAGUACACCCUGGGUGACAAACGGCUAUGAGAGUUCCCAGGUGAUUUCUCGAGCAGCUUCAGUUUACCGGAGCCCAGCCAGGAGAGAGAAUUUUAGCACAGGAAACGCAAUCCCGUGUCCAAGCUCCUAGAAUACCCAGGACUGAGAACCAAAGCAACAGACUUUUCCCAGGGAGCCACACUGCCUCCCCACCUCUUCUUUAACCCCUCACUUGGCAGCUCCAGGAGUUGGCUGCUGAAGACAGAGUACAGGAGGGCAUUUCGUUGACGUAAAAAAGCUACAAGCCCCUUCCGGGGCAAGGUCCAGCACCAUCUGUUAACAGGGCAGCCAGGGAGAAAGGAUGGGACCCCAGCACUCUGAGCAGAAUAAAUCUCUCUUCACUGGCCGAAGACCCUCUGCCUCAAAGGGCCCUACCCAGACUGCUGAGUGAGGAUCCCAUCCCCAAUCUUCCCACCCCUCUCAGGAAGAGCUGGGUCCCAGAAACUCCUAUGACACAAUAAAUCCACUUUCUCUGACAGUGUCAGAGCUUCAAGCCGAUACUGCAGCCUACCUCGGAUUUAAGUGCACAGGAGACUCCCCAGGUUGGAAAUUAUGGCUCUAGAGCCCGGUGUGUAGGCCAAAGGUAUGGCAAGCCUGUGACAGUCUCGGGUGACAUUCCCCACUUCCUUCAUUUCAUUAACAUCCCCUGGGAGGGGGCAGUCAGGCCAGUGCAGUCAGGAGAUUGGGGUCUUGCUCUGUGGCUGCUAAGUCUCCUUCCUUCUCUGGACCUCAGGAAAUAAAGAGGAUGGAAGGAAUGGUCCCGCAGUCCCUUCCAGACACACGGGUGGAUCUCGAACCUGGAGAAUGCCUAAAUAGCAGGAAGGAGAGAACCCAUGUCCCCUCCCAAAACGCAACCUUGGAAAUGGGUAAACAUUUAACUCCUGAAAAAGAACUGGCCCUGGUUUCCUGACUCAAAGGGCCCAGACUUAGGGCCUAUCCUGUUCCUCACAUUUUGAGUGGCUCCCCUGGGCCCUCUUCUGCCAACACUGCCGCAGCUCCACGAUCUCCUGGCCAUACCAGUCAUGCAGGGUAGAGAAGCAGGAGGUCUCAGGGGACACAGGGCUCUGCCCCUUGCCUAGGAGGAGGCUGGCAGGGCCCUGCAGCUCCCACUCAGCCAACCCCCACCCUGCAGACCUGCUGCCCGCUUCUUCAACCAAGCCCACAGGGCUGCUGUCCUUGGAGAGGCAGUGGCCAUUCUCCAGGCCCGCAGCUCGGUGGUUAGGAGCCUGGGGCUUACAGCGGCUGGCAACAGACUUCCAGGAUGAGCGGCGUUGCAAAGCCAGGCUCUGGCGUGCGUCCUGCAACUGGCUCUCCAACUCGCGUACCACCAGGCGCAUGUAGCCAAAGCUUGCCCGGGACAGCACCUUCACCCAGGCCUCCUGGGCCGCCGGCCCUUCUGCGGCCAGCAGGUGUGGGCGCACUCCAGGGGCAUCAAAGCAGAUGGCAAAGGCAAACUCCUCGGGCACGGGAGCCUCGGCCAGUUCCACUGUGCAGCCUUCCAGCACCACCAGGCUCAGUGGGGCCCGGCCCUCGCGACUCUCAAAGGAGAAUAGCAGGUUGCCCUUGAGGACAAACCAGCAUCUUCGGCCAGUGCCACUGGGGGUCGGUGGGGUCCCUGGGCCCCCCCAGGUGCGCAGGAAGCCCAUGUGGUCCGCUGGGGAGUCGCUGAGUGCAUAGUGGGCUACACUCCUCUCGUUCAGCUUCAUGGCUCCCACGGGAACUGUGAGGCAAGAGAGAUGGCAGCAGAUCAGAGAGGGAGGUGGUUCCGUGCCCUCCUGGGGAACAGCACCGGCUCCAGAGGCAACCUGGACCCCAGCCCUGGGACUCCUACUCGCUUGCUGUGUCCCUAAGGUCCCUAAAGUCUCCUGAGAAGUGGGCUCGUCUUUCCUUCCUUUUCUCUCAAAGGGAUGUCGUGAGGAUCAUGCAAAAAAAACUGGACACUGGCGGACUUCGAGAAAAGAAUAACGAGAUUGCAUCAGACAGGAGGCAUGGCAGGACCUGGGCACGGCUUUCUAAAAUCCAAAGAAACAGGCCCCAGCUGAGCUGAAAUGGACCCCAGACCCAUCGAAACCACUGUGCUUAAACUAUCCCCUCAUCUGGGGUCCUCUCAACUCCAACUCUGAGGCCAAGCUUCCAGGGUUUCCAUGACCCUCCUGGGCCUCUACUGGCCUCUUAUUUGCAUAUAGCUGUUGAAUCUUAU
rnacentral:lncRNA from 1 species